CAAGGACUGAGCAUAACACUGCCUGCAUGGAACAGUGGCAGCUUCAUGACCAUGGGGUGAAGACGUGAAUGAGAUGACGAUCUCUCGAGUCACUGAGAGCCAAACAAACAGAACUGAUGUAACUAUUAACACAAGGAAAGCAUAAUAGAAUAACCAUUCUGGAUAAAAGCCUGACAAAAAUGGUAAGCUUAACCACAUUUGUUUAUUAUUGUAGUUUUAUUACUUUGCAAAAUAGUACUUCAGAGGGCAUUUUAAAAGAGCAAAAUUAGGUCAAACAAAUGCUGUUCUUUUGUGAUGAUAAGUUUGCCAGAAAAAAUUAACAUAACUGAACAACCCUGUUAUUUUUCCUACGCAGGGCAAUGAGUUGACUUAAUAAGGAUCACUAAUCACAGCACUGUAGAAACAGCUGGCAAUAAUGAAUUUAAAUUGAUCUUCAUAAUAAGAAAAGUGGGAAUGUGUUGUGAUAGGCCAGUAUCUUAAUGAAUGCACACACUGCUUGACUUCAAGUACGGCAUUUGAGAAACUCAAAGGAACAGCAUGAUUCGACAAAUGCUUGCUAAUGAAUGCAAGAGUUGUAAAGGGAAAACUUAAGAUUAUAAAAAAUGUAUGGUGAUACAUUGGCUGUUUUACAGCUUGUGCUGUACUAGCAUCUUCACAGCCACAGUCUAAAAGAACUCCACAGUCUAAAAGAACUGUUGGCAUUGCCAUUCUUAGAUCAUCAUACAUUUUCAUUGUGCAAAGCAGAGAGGAAACAGGAUAUCACUCCUUCUGUGAGCACUAUGCCAUCCAGAAAACAUACCAUAGACUGACAUGUAACUUAUAAAUUGCUUUUUGACCACAUUGAUUGCAAUUACAGAAUAAAGAGUAAUCGUAGCAGGAAGGCUAGAGAAAAUGCUUCUCCACAGGAGCCUAGCAUGCCUGGUUUAUCAAAGAAGAGAAUAAAGAACAUCUGAUUAUGGUGCACAUGAACACCUUCAUGGUGAAAAACAGAUAACCUCCAAGGGCUGCCUAACCUAGAACAGAAACGCGCUGCAAGAAUCAAUGGUAAGACAUUACAGCUAAAAAUAGCAACAAAUUCAGAAAUAAGCAACAAUUUAGCUCUGACACAUUACUGAGACAGAUUAUGAAUAGAAGCAGCACAUUUCUUUUUUUGGUUUUAGAUAAUGUUUUCAUUAAACACAAGCCACCUCCUGUCUAACAUGAGUUGGCACAGAGAAGUUCUGUGGAAUAGACUGCAGCGAUCAGGCAAGGUAGAUGUGACACAGGCACCUUUCUAUGCUUUUGGGGCCAAUCCCACUUUGAAAUCAGACAAUUCUCAAUACCCCAGCACACUGCCAACUCCCUCCGCUUUACAGUUUUGCCAAGUUUCCUAUGAAAAUAAAACACGUCUUAGUGCUCAACACAGAUAUGGGUCUGUCCCACCACUUCUUGAAGUUUCAUCUUGUUGAACCAGUGGAUUCUUGAUAAUUGUGUUUAAGAGAACGUGAUGACCCUUGACUUUCAGCACAUAAGUCUGACAAUACCAGCAGCUUCUUUAUUUGCCAGGAUGCUCUCUUGGAAGUUUAUUUAAUCUAAUGUUCCACAAGAAGUGAUUUGAGUGUAAAGGUGAGCUGGGAAGUGGUUAAUGAGGUUCUUGAACACGGGUGAUAUUUCUUAAUGAGUUUUCAGAUAAGUUGUCAGGGGAAGAAUAGCAGCAAAAUCUACAGCCAAAUGUACCAGUACAACGUUAGUGUGAGAAGAUCCAAACUUGUCUUCUGAAUUCUUUAAGAAAGUCUAUCAGUCAUUAGUACCAGAAGUAAGCACUGCACAAACAAGCAGCCAGUCUCCAGCUUCCAAAACUGCCCAACAGUAGGUGAGAGGAUGACUAAUCACUAACAAGACUGCAACACUCUGUCCAGUAACGCAGCAAGAUCAGUACGUAGCUCUCCUGACUCCUAGCCCAGUAAUCUCAAUUAUAGCAUGCUCUCUUCCCAAGUGAGAGUUUCUAGACUUAAAAUACUUUCACAUAAAAUAAGGUAUGAUACCUCUCACCAGAUCUUUUGUCUACCACCAGAAUAAGCAAGCGGAGUUUGCACCACUUUUUCCAGCAAGAUUUCUAUUUUAGUUUCAGUUAGUUACCUGUAGAUAUAUCCAUUCCUUGAAAUUAAAACCUCUCAACAGACAUUAAAAAUGCAGCCUCCUACAAGCACAGUCUCCCAAUUUGCGUUUUUGCCUUUACAGGAUAUGCAUGCAUUUACAUAGUUAAAAUACAACUGCUCCAGUACACAACUACACACAGCAAAGAUGCUCACCUGUGCACAUGCUUGUUUAUCCACACAUAAUUGCAGCUCAACACAAUGAACACUGCAGACCAGCUGGAAUAUAUAGUUCUGACCUCACCGUUGUAACAAUCAUCAAGGUUGGAAAAGACCAUCAAGAUUAUCCAGCCAAACCGUCCACCUACCACUAGUGUUUUCCCACUAACCCAUUUUCUUUGGUACAACACGUAAGCGUCUCCUGAACACCUCCAAGGACGAUGACUCCACCACUCUCUGGGCAGCACAUUCCAGCACCUGAUCACCCUUUCAGACAGUAAAUUUUUUCCUAAUAUACAACUUGAACCUCCCUUGGCACAACUUGAGGCCAUUCUCUCUAGUGCCAUUGCUAGUUACACAGUUAGUACAGAGAAGUAACCUCAUUCUAUCAAUUUUGCCUAAUAAAAAAAAGGGGCAAUUCUCAAAAUAAAAAAAUUAACCAUACCAUACAAAACGUUAAGAACUCAUUCUAUGUUGAAAUGUGAGACCUGUUACAUACUUCCUAUGAGCUUAAAUCCUGCCCGGAGUCGGAACAACUAUUGUUUGGUCCUAAUCAAAACCUCUGAUCUUUUAGACCAG
ensembl:lncRNA